UCCUACGGGAGGCAGCAGUGAGGAAUAUUGGUCAAUGGACGCAAGUCUGAACCAGCCAUGUCGCGUGUAGGAUGACUGCCCUAUGGGUUGUAAACUACUUUUUUACAGGAAUAAACUUUUCCACGUGUGGAGAACUGAAGGUACUGUAGGAAUAAGGAUCGGCUAACUCCGUGCCAGCAGCCGCGGUAAUACGGAGGAUUCGAGCGUUAUCCGGAUUUAUUGGGUUUAAAGGGUCCGUAGGCGGGCUUGUAAGUCAGUGGUGAAAUCUCACAGCUCAACUGUGAAACUGCCAUUGAUACUGCAGGUCUUGAAUUUAGUUGAGGUGGGCGGAAUACGAUAUGUAGCGGUGAAAUGCAUAGAUAUAUCGUAGAACACCGAUUGCGAAGGCAGCUCACUAAGCUAAUAUUGACGCUGAUGGACGAAAGCGUGGGGAGCGAACAGGAUUAGAUACCCUGGUAGUCCACGCCGUAAACGAUGAUCACUCGUUGUGCGCGAUACAUUGUGCGCGACUGAGCGAAAGCAUUAAGUGAUCCACCUGGGGAGUACGUUGGCAACAAUGAAACUCAAAUGAAUUGACGG
rnacentral:rRNA from 1 species